rnacentral:rRNA from 1 species
UACGUAGGGUGCAAGCGUUGUCCGGAAUUAUUGGGCGUAAAGAGCUCAUAGGCGGUUUGUUGCGUCGGCUGUGAAAUCCCGAGGCUCAACCUCGGGUCUGCAGUCGAUACGAGCAAACUAGAGUGUUGCAGGGGAGACUGGAAUUCCUGGUGUAGCGGUGAAAUGCGUAGAUAUCAGGAGGAACACCAAUGGCGAAGGCAGCUCACUGGGACGAUACUGACGCUGAGACGCGAAAGCGUGGGGAGCAAACAGG